GAAUUGCGAUAAGUAAUGUGAAUUGCAGAAUUCAGUGAAUCAUCGAAUCUUUGAACGCACCUUGCACUCUUUGGUAUUCCGAAGAGUAUGUCUGUUUGAGUGUCAUGAAACUCUCAACCCCCUUAUUUUGUAAUGAGAUAAGUGUGGGCUUGGAUUAUGGUUGUUGUCGGCGCAAGUCGGCUCAGCUGAAAUACACGAGCUACCCAUUUGAAAUAAACGGUUUGACUCGGCGUGAUAAUUAUUUCGCUGAGGACGUUUUCUUCAAAAGUAAGAGGUGCUUCUAAUGCGCUUUUUAGCAACUUAAGCUUUAGACCUCAAAUCAGUCAGGACUACCCGCUGAACUUAAGC
rnacentral:misc_RNA from 1 species